UGCCUGGCGGCCGUAGCGCGGUGGUCCCACCUGACCCCAUGCCGAACUCAGAAGUGAAACGCCGUAGCGCCGAUGGUAGUGUGGGGUCUCCCCAUGUGAGAGUAGGGAACCGCCAGGUUU
rnacentral:rRNA from 1 species